rnacentral:rRNA from 1 species
AGAGUUUGAUCCUGGCUCAGGAUAAACGCUGGCGGCGUGCCUAACACAUGCAAGUCGUACGUUCUCCCUGUGCGCAAGCAGAGGGAGGGAGUGGCGGACGGGUGAGUAACACAUGGGUACCUGCCUUCAGGUGAGGGAUACCCACGGGAAACCGUGGACAAGCCCGCAUAGGCUCUCUUUGCGAAGAGCGAGCAAAGCCC